rnacentral:rRNA from 1 species
AUUGAACGCUGGCGGCAGGCCUAACACAUGCAAGUCGAGCGGAUGAAGGGAGCUUGCUCCUGGAUUCAGCGGCGGACGGGUGAGUAAUGCCUAGGAAUCUGCCUGGUAGUGGGGGAUAACGUCCGGAAACGGGCGCUAAUACCGCAUACGUCCUGAGGGAGAAAGUGGGGGAUCUUCGGACCUCACGCUAUCAGAUGAGCCUAGGUCGGAUUAGCUAGUUGGUGGGGUAAAGGCCUACCAAGGCGACGAUCCGUAACUGGUCUGAGAGGAUGAUCAGUCACACUGGAACUGAGACACGGUACAGACUCCUACGGGAGGCAGCAGUGGGGAAUAUUGGACAAUGGGCGAAAGCCUGAUCCAGCCAUGCCGCGUGUGUGCAGAAGGUCUUCGGAUUGUAAAGCACUUUAAGUUGGGAGGAAGGGCAGUAAGUUAAUACCUUGCUAUUUUGACGUUACCAACAGAAUAAGCACCGGCUAACUUCGUG